rnacentral:rRNA from 1 species
GCGGUAAAAGCUCAAAUUUGAAAUCUGGUACUUUCAGUGCCCGAGUUGUAAUUUGUAGAAUUUGUCUUUGAUUAGGUCCUUGUCUAUGUUCCUUGGAACAGGACGUCAUAGAGGGUGAGAAUCCCGUUUGGCGAGGAUACCUUUUCUCUGUAAGACUUUUUCGAAGAGUCGAGUUGUUUGGGAAUGCAGCUCAAAGUGGGUGGUAAAUUCCAUCUAAAGCUAAAUAUUGGCGAGAGACCGAUAGCGAACAAGUACAGUGAUGGAAAGAUGAAAAGAACUUUGAAAAGAGAGUGAAAAAGUACGUGAAAUUGUUGAAAGGGAAGGGCAUUUGAUCAGACAUGGUGUUUUUUGCAUGCACUCGCCUCUCGUGGGCUUGGGCCUCUCAAAAAUUUCACUGGGCCAACAUCAAUUCUGGCAGCAGGAUAAAUCAUUAAGAAUGUAGCUACUUCGGUAGUGUUAUAGCUUUUUGGAAUACUGUUAGCCGGGAUUGAGGACUGCGCUUCGGCAAGGAUGUUGGCAUAAUGGUUAAAUGCCGCCCGUCUUGANCNACGGAAC